rfam:Myotis brandtii contig292405, whole genome shotgun sequence.
GAGACACCCCUAUGGAGCAGGACUUGCUUCAGUGGGGCUUUGGUGCUUACUGAGUCUGCCCUUUUAAUGUGUCACU